rnacentral:rRNA from 1 species
GUUGUCCGGCUCUGAGCUUGAUCCUGGCUCAGGACGAACGCUGGCGGUAUGCCUAAUACAUGCAAGUCGAACGCUGAAGCACUCUGCUUGCAGAGUGUGGAUGAGUGGCGAACGGGUGAGUAACACGUGGGGAACCUGCCCAUAAGAGGGGGAUAACAUCCGGAAACGGGUGCUAAUACCGCAUAGGUGAUCAUAGCGCAUGCUUAGAUCAUUAAAGAUGGCUUCGGCUAUCGCUUAUGGAUGGCCCCGCGGCGUAUUAGCUAGUUGGUGAGGUAAUGGCUCACCAAGGCUGUGAUACGUAGCCGACCUGAGAGGGUGAUCGGCCACACUGGAACUGAGACACGGUCCAGACUCCUACGGGAGGCAGCAGUAGGGAAUCUUCCACAAUGGGCGAAAGCCUGAUGGAGCAAUACCGCGUGAGUGAAGAAGGUCUUCGGAUCGUAAAGCUCUGUUGUUAGAGAAGAACAAGAGGUGUAGUAACUGGCACCUCCUUGACGGUAUCUAACCAGAAAGUCACGGCUAACUACGUGCCAGCAGCCGCUGUAAUCGUACGCUG